GGCAUGGAGGCAACCAGCUUCCGGCAGUUGAAGUUUAUGAUUUCCUGAUGGCACAGUGAAUAAAAAGAGAAAGAGAGGGUGGGGAAGAGAGGUGGGAAGAAAAGAUGGGACAAGGAAGCAGAAAAGCCAGUUACACCACGAACGCAGCUCCUCAUUCCCUGAGUACUGUCCUCACUAACACAGCACAGAGGAAGAUCUUGGAGCAGAUGCCUGAAGGGCAGACCUUCCCUGCACAUCAGUGUCACUCAGAACUCAGUACAGUCUGUGCUGGCACUGCCUUGCAUGCUAACAACUUGAUCUGCACCAGAGAGGAGAAGGAAUUACUCGGAGAAGCCAAGGUAGCAGAGGGGACACUCGGGGUUUCCUGGCAUUUCCAGAGCUUUUUGUCUGUAGCUUGCAGCAAAGGAGCUGGCUGUAAAUAUUCAUGAUCACUAUAGCAUGAUCAAAGUCAAGCGAGUCACCACCUCCCCACAGGGAGCUGAAUUGGCAAUGAAUGCUGCACUUUAUUAUUUGGAUUGCUGAAGUUCUGGAGAAGCAGGCAGGAUGCUGUAGCGGGCUGUGCUAGGUGCUGCACAGCCUGCAGCUCAUCAACAGGGGAGGCAAAAUGAGUGGAAACCCUGAGUCCUGAAUUGGACCCUAUGUAUCACACUGCAAAAGCACCACAGGAAUGUUUUAUCCAAGAGCCCACUGUCAGAGCACCAGGAUACCUGUGAGGGUACCCAGUGGCACAGAUACCAGCCACCAGCCCACCAGCCCUCUCCUCCCCACCAGAAGCACUUGCUAUCAAUCUCCAGCUGAUCUUGGCUUUGUGGGAAAAAUGCCCCAACAAGCACAGGUUGGAUGGGAACACUCAGGACUCUCUGCUUACUCACUACUGUAUAUGGAUUUAUUGCUUUGUAACAAAGAGCAAUAAAUAACCGCCCUGCAAAGCCUCUAGGGCUUGUCAGAUUCUCCCACACUAACUGUUCCCAGAUAAGGCUCUGUGCAAAAACAGGACAGACUUACUUCCCCAGAGUGAAAGGUUUUCCUUCUGCUUACGAAUUAAAAAUGUGCCUACGAAAGAAAACUGUGAGAUAAGAAGCCAUAAUUCUCUGUCACAGCUAAGCAGAAGGACACGUCUCUGCUCUCCUGUCUUUGGCAGUGCUACCUCCCCUCACCCCGUGCCAGAGGGACACGCAGACAUCAGUGGCCUCUCUGAGUUCAAAUGGAAAGACUCAUUAGGAGUUAUUUAAAUCUUUCUGAAGACAAUCAAGUCCAUUUAAUUUCGAACUUAUUUUAAGACUGUUUUUCCUUGAAUAAGCCUUUGAGGGAGGCAAUAUACCAAAAGGGAACCACUUAGAAUCACAGAAUGGCCUGGGUUG